GUCAUAUUCCCUCCUCUCCACAAGGGGGCUCCUCCUCCCACCUUGUAAAUAGAGGACUUCCUCUUUGUCUCCAACCCCCGUCACCUCUUGAAUUCUGGUGUGUGUUUGUCAUGUGUCUUUUGCUUUAUCUUCUGUGUAUGAGCACAUUCACAUGAAAGAGGCAGAGUUUUUAAUUAUAAUCAACAUCGUCAGAACCACGGAUAAAGUCCUUAAUAUGAUCUGAGAAGACAUGCUGACACCUGCAGGCUCCUGUAGAAAUGAUGACUCAGUGUUUCCAGUGAUCUGAUUGGUCAGUGGUUUGGCUGUACGGAGCAGAUUAGGAGUUCAGCACCAGUUACCAUGGUGAUUUACCUGGCCACAAGUGGACCACCAGUGUCGGACUUAAAACCAAGAGUUAAACCUGAAGUUACCUGAUGACCUCAAAUCCUGCUUCAUAGUACAGACCUCAGGACUCUGAUGUACCCUGGUCUCUGAUUGGUUCUUCUGAUGAAGUUUAGAAAACACAAACUGUUUUCACAGUCAAUAAAUGUAUUUAUUAAUUUCUACUUUUACACAUGAAAAUAAACAUUUAACAGAUGAAAACAAAGAUGAGCUGGAAACUGAGGAAUGAGACAUCAAUCAAAUAUCAAUAAUCAAUCAGCUCUGACUGAAGGUUUCAUGUUUCUGAUAAAAAAAACAAAAAAAAAUUAAA